rnacentral:rRNA from 1 species
UACGUAGGUGGCGAGCGUUGUCCGGAAUUACUGGGUGUAAAGGGCGUGUAGGCGGGGGAGUAAGUCAGAUGUGAAAUACCACGGCUCAACCGUGGGGGUGCAUCUGAAACUAUUUCUCUUGAGUGCUGGAGAGGAAAGCGGAAUUCCUAGUGUAGCGGUGAAAUGCGUAGAUAUUAGGAGGAACACCAGUGGCGAAGGCGGCUUUCUGGACAGCAACUGACGCUGAGGCGCGAAAGCGUGGGGAGCAAACAGG